UCUGUAGAACAAAAGAAUUAUACUCAAUUUUCAAAAAUAUAGAUACAACAGUAAUCAGUUUCAAGACAGUAUAUAUUUUUUCAACCGAAGAAAAUAAAUGUUCCGCUCCGUUCAGUCAGUUCAAUCCAGUUCAAACAAAAAACUCCACUCUGGGAUUUCCAAAUAACACACAGUUCACAGUUCAAUUCACAGUUCAAUUCAGUUCAAUCCACACAGUUCGCUAAACAAAAGAAAACUCCACCCCAGGUUUUCCUGCAACCAAGGAGGUAAAGAAAAUCCACUGUUUGCUCUGACUCAGUUCAGUUUCAAAACAAUAAAUCAACCCGGCCCGAAGGUUCCAAAUAAGGAAUAAUGGAACAGAAAGUAACCCCCGGCUUUUGCCAACUCAUGGGACUGCGUGUGAAUGCCGUAACGCUCCAGCGUUGUUUCGGGCGUGGGGGCUCCGUAGGAUCGCUUGAUAUCCAUGGUGGAAUCUCUGAGUUGAGGCCGGUGGCCGGAUGGAUGAUAUUCCACGGGGAAGCGCACCUAUUUCGCGGACUUUGAACUGUGUAAAAUGCCGUGGUAGGCCAUCCCACUGGCCGAUAGCACCGGUGGGUGUGUCUGGAGGUACCUCAGUGUUUGGAGAUGCUUCUCUAUCAUCAUCAUCAUUAUCAUCAUGCUCAGCAGCAUCUGACCAUACCAUCAUUCUGAACCCCACCACGUGUGACCCUCUUGAAGAAGCAGUCGCUGCUGAAGGAAGUCAACCUAAAAGGCCAUGCCACAUAAACUAUGAGGCACAAGCGUUGAUUGAAGAUAUCCUAACAACAAAGCCUGGUGGUGAACACAUCAUGCAAGAGUAUGCAAAAACCAAAUCUCUGAAAGAUGCGACCAGAAGACAGAUGAUAAACAUACUUGCUGCUGAGAUGACACAAACACAUGAGUAAGGAUCAUGCAUUUAGGCUAUAAAGAAACAUUAUUAGUUAUGGAUUGUUUCUAAUUGUGUCUAAUUGAGUGUCAUCAUUGAAUUCAUACGUGAGGAAACCCCCCCCCUAAAAGUGUCAGAGUAAAGUAUGCACAGGGGAUAGUUGCUCUGUUUCCAUAUCUGGAAGACCCAUAUUCACAACAUGGAUAUGUAAGUAAAAAGGUCCUUACAACAUUAAACACAUAAUUGCCCUUAGAAAUGUUGAUGGCAUAAUCCGUCUGCAUGUAUUUAAUUACACAGGAACAUUUCUACAAUCCAGAGAGCGGUUCAGGAUACCUUGCAUGGUGGCUGAAGACCAUUCAAAGAAAAACUGCAGAAGACAGAGGUGCCUCAGUCAGCAAAUCUCCCAAAAUUGGUGGGCCAGGCCAUGGUCAACCCAGACCCUUCACCGCUGACAAAGUGUUAUCUAAUGAGGAAGUGGAAGCAGCUAUUGCUGUUUUGAAACACUCUGCUGAUGAAGACACUGUCCGUGAGAAGAUGAAAACUACCUUCAGUUAUCGUCAUUCACUGGUCAACAAUGAAAAGAAAGCAGCAGAUGUCUUCUCAGUCUUUCCACGGUUUCUGGACACACCAGGACUGAUAGAACAAGAUUUCAGGCUCCUAUUUGGUGAGGUCACUGCCAACAAAUUCUUGGAAAGGUGGCCCAUCAAUUUCAAAGCAAAAGUUAAAGGAAAGCCAUGGACUGGUGCCAGCCACAGAGCUCUUGGAAUUAAUGUGUAAUGCUGAGUCAGCUGCUGAAGUUGAGAAUGGCUGGGACAGUGACAUGUGUGCUAUCUUGCUGCUGCUACAUCUGCUACCACCAUCUGCACAAGGACGAAAGAGGCCAGGAAAAGAAACUCCCAGAUUUGCAGAGUUGCGAGCAAGAAUGGUGCGUGAGAUCACACAAUGAAGUGUUUUCUUUGCAAAAGUGACCAUGGUAGACCAAACAGCCUUAUAAAGCACCUUAAAGUAAUUCAUGGUCUCUGUACUGGCAAGACUCUUCAUCUUAAAUGUGAGCAAGUGGGAUGCUCACGUUCUUUUGGCAGCUUUUCUGGUUUUAGGAAGCAUCUAAACAAGUGUCAUGUAAGUGGUUCAUUUGAGUCUGUAGAAGAAGGUGAUUUUUCACCUCAUCAAAGUGUUGACACAAGUAAUGUCACUGAUGUUGAUGGGUCGUCUGAAAAUUUAGAGGCUGAGCCAGAAUUAUCUUCAGCAAACUUUGUAAAUAGUUGAGCAGUGUAAUUUCUGACUUAAAGGCAGCAGGUGUAGGCCAAAGUGUAGUGAAUUCUGUAGUGAUUUCCAUGGAAGAGAUUGUUCAAGAUAUCCAGCAGCAUGCUAAAGAAACUGUCAUUAAGCAUGUGUUUAGUGAUGAAAGAGAAACUGAAAUGUGCAAGAAAGUUGAAGCAUGUUUUGAGGAGUUAGAGAAUCCUUUCACAAUUCUUAAUUCAGAAUACAAGUGAGCAAAAUUUUUCUCAGGCAAGUGUGGAAUUGUAGAACCAGUUGAAUGUGUAAUUGGCUGAAGAUUUGACACAAGGCAAAAUAAAGAGACUGGAACAUAUGAUCAGACAGUUGUUCAAGAUAAAUUCAUGUAUGUUCCAAUUUUAUCUACACUGGAGUCAAUAUUUAAAAGUCAGUAUAUUGCAAAAAUGUUGAAAAGCUCAGCCACUGACGACUCAAGAUAUUUGUGAUGGCUCUUUAUUUAAGACUCAUCCUCUGUUUUCAACUGAAAAGCACACACAGUGCAGAUCCAAAUGUUGUAUGAUGACUUCGAGGUUGCAAAUCCUCUUGGUUCCAAGUGAGGUAUUCAUAAACUAGGUGCAAUAUAUUUUACCUUAAGAAACUUCUCUCCGAAAUGGAAUUCUUUUUUGGCCAACAUACACCUGUGUGCCUUAUUUCAUGCACAAGAUCUUAAACGGUAUGGUUUUAGUGAAAUACUUGCUCCUAUUGUUCGAGAUAUUAAAGUGUUAGAGACUGAUAGUAUUGAGAUUCCAAUAUAUGGUGGCCAUGUUCGUGGUAGUGUGGUACAGGUUACGGGGGAUAAUAUAGGCUUACAUAGCUUGUUUGGUCUGGUGGAGUCUGUCAGUGCCAGGUACUGUUGCAGGUUUUGUUUAGCCGAAAAAGAUGACUUUCAAACAGAAUUCUCUGAAGAUUCUUCCAAAAUAGUGUUAGGCACCAAAGAUGCCCCCGCUGCUCACUGUCAAGAAAUGGCUCGUAAUCCAUCUCUUCCUUACGUUUUUGGUGUGAAGAGUUCAUGCUUAUUGAAUUCACUGACAUAUUUUCACACAGCUGAGAACUUCUCAGUUGAUGAGAUGCAUGACAUUUUGGAAGGGGUGGCCCAGUAUGAAUUGAAGCUAUUGUUUUUGUAUUUUAAAGAACAACACGUUACACUGGGGGAGCUGAAUUCGAGAAUACAAAAUUUUGAUUAUGGAUUCAUGGAAAGAAACAAUAGGCCAGUGGCUGUGAAUUUAGGUGGAGAGUCUAAUGAUCUGGGACUGAAUGUGGUUCAGUCAUGGUGCUUAUUGAGUAAUGUUCCCCUCAUUUUUGGAGAUUUGGUAACCUCCACUGACCAACGUUGGGGCCUACUUCUUUUAUUACUACAAAUAAUAAACAUUGUAUUUUCUCCCAUGUUAUCUCAAGGUCUGUGUGUAUAUUUAAAACACUUGAUUGUUGAACACCACAAACUGUUCAAGACAUUGUAUCCCCAGAAAAAACUUUUACCAAAGCACCAUUUUCUUAUCCACUAUCCCUGCUGCAUUCAGAAAAUAGGACCUGUACUUGAUAGCUGGUGCAUGCGCUAUGAAGGUAAGCACAAUUUUUUUCAAGAAACAGGUCAAAUCAUUUAAAAAUAUCACCAAAACGCUGGCUAAAAAACAUCAGAAUCAUAUGGCAUACAUGUGGCGAUCUCCAACAACUUUUAGUCGGUUAGACAUUGGUCCAGGAAAAAUGGUGUCUUUAGAAAUGGUAAAAGGAGGUUCUGGAAUUGCCAUGUCAAUGCAACUGCCCAAUAAUGUUCAAGUUAUGAAAGUGAAUUGGGCUAAACACAAUGGUUUUGUUUACUGCCCACAUCUGGUUAUUUGUGGCAAAGUUGAAUCUGAAAUGCCUCUUUUUUACCAGAUUGUGUCAGUUCUGAUAAUGCAUGAGAAAUAGUCGCUGCUCACUUCACCUCUAUUUACAGUAACAUUUCAAGAACAUUUCCAUGCAUUUGAGGUGACCAGGACAAAGCAAGAUUUUGUUGUCAUUCAUGUUGACAACCUGCAUUAUCCCAGGCCUUUUGGCAUACAAAUGUCAUAUGGAGUGAAUGACACAGCUCUCUUUGUUGUACCAUAUUGUUUUCUUUGGUGAGCACUGUGUUUUAAAAAUAACGUUUAUAGUCAAGGCAAGUAUGGGUAACCGUUGUGUUAUUUCACUGACAAAA